rnacentral:rRNA from 1 species
UACGGGGGGGGCAAGCGUUGUUCGGAAUUACUGGGCGUAAAGGGCUCGUAGGCGGCCAACUAAGUCAGACGUGAAAUCCCUCGGCUCAACCGGGGAACUGCGUCUGAUACUGGAGGGCUUGAGUUCGGGAGAGGGAUGCGGAAUUCCAGGUGUAGCGGUGAAAUGCGUAGAUAUCUGGAGGAACACCGGUGGCGAAGGCGGCAUCCUGGACCGAGACUGACGCUGAGGAGCGAAAGCCAGGGGAGCAAACGGG